rnacentral:lncRNA from 1 species
CCAACGCGGACCCUCAGGAUAUAUGCGACAAUAUAAGGAAGUUAGUUCUGCAACUGCAGCACGAUGUGGCCCCACGUUGCUACAGCUCUGAAGACGCCGAUGCGGAGCGCCAGAUCCAGAAAACGCGCUUGCUGAACCGCAAGCUGACGGCUACGCUGAAACGCCUGCCGUGUGUUCGAAUCUUGAACGCCGAGCAUGUUGGUCUUCAUCCGAGAGCUGUCUGACCUUUGGAUGUACAGAGGCGUCCACUUCCACCUUGAGCACCGCACCGUGCAGCCAGCGCUCCGC